rnacentral:lncRNA from 1 species
GCGGCCGAGGUGAAAGUGGAUGGCAGCGAGCCGAAACUGAGCAAGAAGUGGUGGUAAUCAUUAGUUCCAGGGUGCUCUGCCAUGUUGACGCAAGCUGCUGUAAGGCUUGUUAGGGGGUCCCUGCGCAAAACCUCCUGGGCAGAGUGGGGUCACAGGGAACUGCGACUGGGUCAACUUGCUCCUUUCACAGCGCCUCACAAGGACAAGUCAUUUUCUGAUCAAAGAAGUACUUCUGUUUCCUGCCAUGAAACCCGAAGACAAGAAGGAGAAUGUAGCAACCACUGAUACACUGGAAAGCACAACAGUUGGCACUUCUGUCUAGAAAAUAAUAAUUGCAAGUUGUAUAACUCAGGCGUCUUUGCAUUUCUGCGAAAGAUCAAGGUCUGCAAGGGAAUUCUUGUGUGCUGCUUUCCAUUUGACACCGCAGUUCUGUUCAGCCAUCAGAAGAGAGACAAGGAA